rnacentral:rRNA from 1 species
GUGGGGAAUAUUGCACAAUGGGCGGAAGCCUGAUGCAGCGACGCCGCGUGGGGGAUGAAGGCCUUCGGGUUGUAAACCUCUUUCAGCACCGACGAAGGUGACGGUAGGUGCAGAAGAAGCGCCGGCUAACUACGUGCCAGCAGCCGCGGUAAUACGUAGGGCGCAAGCGUUGUCCGGAAUUAUUGGGCGUAAAGAGCUCGUAGGCGGUUUGUCGCGUCUGCCGUGAAAGCUCACAGCUUAACUGUGGGUCUGCGGUGGAUACGGGCAGACUAGAGGCAGGUAGGGGAGAACGGAAUUCCCGGUGUAGCGGUGAAAUGCGCAGAUAUCGGGAGGAACACCGGUGGCGAAGGCGGUUCUCUGGGCCUGUACUGACGCUGAGGAGCGAAAGCGUGGGGAGCGAACAGGAUUAGAAACCCCUGUAGUCC